rnacentral:rRNA from 1 species
UACAGAGGUCUCAAGCGUUGUUCGGAUUCAUUGGGCGUAAAGGGUGCGUAGGCGGCGCGGUAAGUCGGGUGUGAAAUCUCGGAGCUUAACUCCGAACUGCAUUCGAUACUGCCGUGCUUGAGGACUGGAGAGGAGACUGGAAUUUACGGUGUAGCGGUGAAAAUGCGUAGAUAUCGUAAGGAAGACCAGUGGCGAAGGCGGGUCUCUGGACAGUUCCUGACGCUGAGGCACGAAGGCCAGGGGAGCAAACGGG